UACGGGGGGGGUAAGCGUUGUUCGGAAUUACUGGGCGUAAAGGGCUCGUAGGCGGCCAACUAAGUCAGACGUGAAAUCCCUCAGCUUAACUGGGGAACUGCGUCUGAUACUGGAUGGCUUGGAUCCGGAAGAGGGAUGCGGAAUUCCAGGUGUAGCGGUGAAAUGCGUAGAUAUCAGGAGGAACACCGGUGGCGAAGGCGGUUCUCUGGGCCUUACCUGACGCUGAGGAGCGAAAGCGUGGGGAGCGAACAGG
rnacentral:rRNA from 1 species